AAGUCUGACGGAGCAACGCCGCGUGAGUGAUGACGGCCUUCGGGUUGUAAAGCUCUGUUAAUCGGGACGAAUGGUUCUUGUGCAAAUAGUGCGAGGAUUUGACGGUACCGGAAUAGAAAGCCACGGCUAACUACGUGCCAGCAGCCGCGGUAAUACGUAGGUGGCAAGCGUUGUCCGGAAUUAUUGGGCGUAAAGCGCGCGCAGGCGGAUUGGUCAGUCUGUCUUAAAAGUUCGGGGCUUAACCCCGUGAUGGGAUGGAAACUGCCAAUCUAGAGUAUCGGAGAGGAAAGUGGAAUUCCUAGUGUAGCGGUGAAAUGCGUAGAUAUUAGGAAGAACACCAGUGGCGAAGGCGACUUUCUGGACGAAAACUGACGCUGAGGCGCGAAAGCCAGGGGAGCGAACGGGAUUAGAUACCCCGGUAGUCCUGGCCGUAAACGAUGGGUACUAGGUGUAUGAGGUAUCGACCCCUUCUGUGCCGGAGUUAACGCAAUAAGUACCCCGCCUGGGGAGUACGACCGCAAGGUUGAAACUCAAAGGAAUUGACGGGGGCCCGCACAAGCGGUGGAGUAUGUGGUUUAAU
rnacentral:rRNA from 1 species